AAAACUAUAUACUAUUUCAUUGCUGUAGAUUUCAUAAACCAAAAGGAAAAAUUAAUCAAAAAAAAUCACCAGAAAGAGUAACAGCAUGAACAAACAGACGAUGAAGAACAUAACAGAGAAGAAAUGCCUGGCUUUCCCAUGUACGCCGCUCCAUUUUUUUUUCUCGAAACGAUAUAUAUAUCGGCGGCCGGCCGACGUCGACGCCGGAAGUGCUUCAGUCAACCGCGCAAAGGGAAACUUGAGAAGAUAGAAAUUUGCCAGAAAGAUGGUUGAAAUUACUAUAAUCAAUUUGUAAGCAAGCCAUAACAUCAUAUUUAUUCUUCAUCCUCUUCAUAACUUUUGGUUUUUUUUUCUGGGAUUAUCUGAAACAAGAAGAAAACAGCAAAAGGUUAUGAAAUGAUAAGGGAAAACAAAAAAAAAAAUGAAGAGAUUAUACAGGAGUUAACACAAAGAAGAUGAGACCAGCAUAUAUAUAUAUAUUAUAAAAGAGGCAGGAAAAAAAGGGAAGGGUGUUCCCAAGAAGAUGAGACCAGCAUUUCCCGUUUUAAUGUUGCCUUCAUAUGUAAACACAAUUAUAAAAUGCGAAUAGGAUAAAUAAAAACUUUGAAAAUUAUAAAUAUAUAAUACUUUUCUUUAGUUGACAAAAAAUACGUUUUUUUUUUGUUUAUAUAAAUAUAUAAUACUUUAAAUAGUUAAUGAGUUGAGUAUCUAAGUCUAAAUUUUAUUAUUUAUAUUUACACGUAUAUGUGUUCUCGAUUUUGAUUUUAAUUUGAUUUAAGUUUUAUUAUGUGUGUUUCCUGUUUAAAUUUAUUUUAAUUUAGGUUUGGAUAUAAUUUGAUAAUAUGUCAAUUUGCUUGUGCAUGU
rnacentral:lncRNA from 1 species